GGAGUGGAAUGGCCUGGAAGGGGCAUAAUAAGGUAAGCCAUGUAAAAAUGCUGAAGUUGGUGUGGCCGGGCGGGACGGGACAAGGCGGGGGAAUGAGGGGAGGGUCCCAUAUUUUUUUCUUUUCUUUUUACAAUUUUGGUUCACCCUGGGUGAGGCAGAGGUGGGGAGGAGAUCAGGCAUUGGUAAAUUCUGAUGUUGAUGGCAAGUAAAUUAGGUUCUUAGCCGGUACCAAAUGAGGUUGAGAAAGAUGUGGCCCAAGCUGGAUUACAGUCAUCAAGAAGUUAACAGAAUCCUGUAAGAGCCCCUCCAGUCGCCUUUCAGGUCCGCGAGCAUCACGCAAGAGACUCCUUCCCAGGAUAGAUAGAAUCUUGUUUUAAGGGCUGUUAAAAUGCAAACAAACAGACCCUACAUCAGCAAUAACCGAACAAACAGGUGCAGGCCAUUAAGAAAGUUUUGCAUAUAAGCUGUUUUAAUUUUUGUUGCAAAGGAUUUCUGGGGAGUCAAGGGGUGUGUCAGAAAUUUGAGCUCUAGGGCAGAACUUAAAAAAACCUUUUAGCUACUUCCUUCUCCCCGGCCUCGGAAAUGAAAAAGCCAAAAGGUCACCCAGCGCGUCCGCCACCCAGUCAGCCCCAAGGCCAGCCGUCCUCACCCCAGUCCGGGUCCUCGCCACUGGCCUCUCCGCUGCACACGGCCACCUGUUGAUGCCCUCGCGCCCACAGCCGAGUUGCAAACGGCCGCUAGAGUUCGUUCUAAUUCCCCAGAGCAGAGCUGGCCGGGAAGCCCCGACGCGACGCGCCUGCUAAUCUGCAGGGCGGGCGGGGACUCCGCAGAGCCUCCCAGCCCCAGGAUCCCUUUGUUUUCUCGCUGCGCUCGAAGCUUCUAAACUAGCCCUCAGACCGCAUCCCCUCGUCCCCGUCCGGGAGCUGCCCGAGAGUCCACAGGCCAGCCCAGGGGGAAACAAGGUCCAUCUGGACAGGAAUGCGCGGCGCAGACAGGUUGCCGCCCGAGAUCCCGAAGUGUGCCCGGAUCCCGAAUUCCUUAGAGCUCUUUAGCCGAGCACUGUGGCAGGAGCGCGGCGCCCGGAAUACAAGUUCAUGGUUCCGAGGCCGUGGGCGAAGGGCAGCGCGAUCCCCGGCCACCUUUGCUCUAAGGCGCCAAGGGGAGCCUGGGGGCUGCCGCGGUGAGAGCUCCGCUCCCACUGGGAACAUUGGAGUCCCAGUUGCGAAAGCGACCAGCCUAGCUUCCGAGGGACUUCUCUGCGAGCACCGCAGGCGUGUGCAUUUCUUUGAAUCUGAGAAUUCCAGCGAACGCGGGCUCUACCAGAGUUUAAGUCGGCCCCUGGGGCGUCCGUUUGUUUAUUGGCUCUUAAGGGAAAAAAGUUUGAAGAUCUUUAACCAGCCUCAGACCUGGCGCGGGCGGAAAUCCCGGAAUCUCCCCAGGCAAAAGUGAUCUAACUUCAAGUCGUUAUAUAAGUGGGGGACUCCUUCUUCCCCUCCCUACGCCGAGCCUUCUCAUUAUCAUUCCGGGAGUAAAAUGUGUCUCGCUCAACAUAGUUUUAAAAUCGUUAUUAUUAUUUUCCUGAGCCUGAAGCCGGGCCAAGGCGCAGGCAGCGCCCAGGGUGCGUGGUGGCCCCACCCGCGCACAGUCCCACGCAAAGGGUCCCGGGGCCCGGGUGCCGCCAGAGCCGGGCCCGCAAGCGCGCCCUUCGGUCCCACGGUCCGCCACUCCACGUGGUCAAGAUCAACAGUUUGUUGAGCUCAUCAGUGACACCUUGAACUUUUCAUAAAGAAAAUGGGUAUUGCACUGAGAGGGUUUGGCCGCGGCCGCCGCGCGGGGUCGUGCUUAAUAUUCAAUGAUCUCGCUCGCGCCUCCCCCUCCUCUUCUCGCAGAAAUUCCACCGAGUCCGUUACUGGGCUCAGACUUUUAAGUUAAUUUACUGCCCCCCUACCUUGGCCAGUAACCAGCGCCUUUAGGGCUAGCCUCCCCCCCAGCUCCUGACUGAAAAAUGACAUUUCGCCGGUGUCUCCGGAGGGGGCUGAAUUUCACUUUGUAACUUUCUGCGGAACCCGAGCCCGGGUGGCAGCUCGGGUGGUGGUAUCGUAUGCAAAUACGCAUGCUGACGUUACAGAUCAUGUGGGUUUUGGCGUAGAUUCCCCACUGAUCGAGGCAUUUUUUUUCCCUUUUUUUCCUUUUUUUUUUUUCUUUUAAAAAUUUUGGCCACCGUUCUCCGUACGGGGGCUUUUUCUGUCUGUCUGUCUGUCUGGCAGGCUGGCUUUCCCCCUCUUUCCCACGGAGCCCGAGCCGGGCGCCCGGUGGGGAGUGGGGAGUGGGUGGGGGGAGCCAGCAGAGUUCCAUUUUGGAACGCCCGUGCCGCGUCUCCGCGUUCCCAGCCCGGGUCCCCGCGUUCCCAGCCCCAGCGCAGAUCUGGAUGUACCGACUGCUCUUGGAAUGAAAAGAUUCCCAGGAUGUGAGCAACACGGGACCGAUAUGAUGCUUCCUGGUGUGUUUAGCGGUUGGUGCCAUUGCAAUUUUCUGUGCUGAAUUCAUUCCGAAAACUCAAACAGUAGACUUCAGCACAUAAGGAAAGCCAAAGCCAUUUGAGGGGGAAUAAAGCCAAAAGCCUUUCACCUUAUUCGUUCCAAGAAUCUCACUGCCUCCUCCUUACCCCCCUCCAAAAAUAAGCCAUUGCACACAGGGAGCAUGGCUAGCAAACGAAAAUCUACAACUCCAUGCAUGGUUCGGACAUCACAAGUAGUAGAACAAGAUGUGCCCGAGGAGGUAGACAGGGCCAAAGAGAAAGGAAUCGGCACACCACAACCUGACGUGGCCAAGGACAGUUGGGCAGCAGAACUUGAAAACUCUUCCAAAGAAAAUGAAGUGAUAGAGGUGAAAUCUACGGGGGAAAGCCAGUCCAAAAAACUCCAAGGUGGUUAUGAGUGCAAAUACUGCCCCUACUCCACGCAAAACCUGAACGAGUUCACGGAGCACGUUGACAUGCAGCAUCCCAACGUGAUUCUCAACCCCCUCUACGUGUGUGCAGAAUGUAACUUCACAACCAAAAAGUACGACUCCCUGUCCGACCACAACUCCAAGUUCCAUCCCGGGGAGGCCAACUUCAAGCUGAAGUUAAUUAAACGCAAUAAUCAAACUGUCUUGGAACAGUCCAUCGAAGCCACCAACCAUGUCGUGUCCAUCACCACCAGCGGCCCUGGAACUGGUGACAGUGAUUCUGGGAUCUCGGUGAGUAAAACCCCCAUCAUGAAGCCCGGAAAACCAAAAACAGAUGCCAAGAAGGUGCCCAAGAAGCCCGAAGAGAUCACCCCCGAGAACCACGUGGAAGGGACCGCCCGCCUGGUGACAGACACAGCUGAGAUCCUCUCGAGACUCGGCAGUGUGGAGCUCCUCCAAGACACAUUAGGACACGUCAUGCCUUCUGUACAGCUGCCACCAAAUAUCAACCUUGUGCCCAAGGUCCCCGUUCCACUAAAUACUACCAAAUACAACUCUGCCCUGGAUACAAAUGCCACGAUGAUCAACUCUUUCAACAAGUUUCCUUACCCUACCCAGGCUGAGUUGUCCUGGCUGACAGCUGCCUCCAAACACCCAGAGGAGCACAUCAGAAUCUGGUUUGCCACCCAGCGCUUAAAGCACGGCAUCAGCUGGUCCCCAGAAGAGGUGGAGGAGGCCCGGAAGAAGAUGUUCAAUGGCACCAUCCAGUCAGUACCCCCGACCAUCACUGUGCUGCCCGCCCAGUUGGCCUCCACAAAGGUGACGCAGCCCAUCCUCCAGACGGCUCUACCGUGCCAGAUCCUUGGCCAGACUAGCCUGGUGCUGACUCAGGUGACCAGCGGGUCAACAACCGUCUCUUGCUCCCCCAUCACGCUUGCUGUGGCAGGAGUAACCAACCACGGCCAGAAGAGACCAUUGGUGACUCCCCAAGCUGCCCCCGAACCCAAGCGUCCACACAUCGCUCAGGUGCCAGAGCCCCCACCCAAGGUGGCCAACCCCCCACUCACGCCAGCCAGUGACCGCAAGAAGACAAAGGAGCAGAUAGCACAUCUCAAGGCCAGCUUUCUCCAGAGCCAGUUCCCUGACGAUGCUGAGGUUUACCGGCUCAUCGAGGUGACUGGCCUUGCCAGGAGCGAGAUCAAGAAGUGGUUCAGUGACCACCGAUAUCGGUGUCAAAGAGGCAUCGUCCACAUCACCAGCGAAUCCCUUGCCAAAGACCAGUUGGCCAUCGCGGCCUCCCGACACGGUCGCACGUACCACGCGUACCCAGAUUUUGCCCCCCAGAAGUUCAAAGAGAAAACACAGGGUCAGGUUAAAAUCUUGGAAGACAGCUUUUUAAAAAGUUCUUUUCCUACCCAAGCAGAACUGGAUCGGCUAAGGGUGGAGACCAAGCUGAGCAGGAGAGAGAUCGACUCCUGGUUCUCAGAGAGGCGGAAGCUUCGAGACAGCAUGGAAAAAGCUGUCUUGGAUUCCAUGGGGUCUGGCAAAAAAGGCCAAGAUGUGGGAGCCCCCAAUGGUGCUCUGUCUCGACUCAACCAGCUCUCCGGUGCCCAGUUAACCAGUUCUCUGCCCAGCCCUUCGCCAGCAAUUGCAAAAAGUCAAGAACAGGUUCAUCUCCUGAGGAGCACGUUUGCAAGAACCCAGUGGCCUACUCCCCAGGAGUAUGACCAGUUAGCGGCCAAGACUGGCCUGGUCCGAACUGAGAUUGUGCGUUGGUUCAAGGAGAACAGAUGCUUGCUGAAAACGGGAACCGUGAAGUGGAUGGAGCAGUACCAGCACCAGCCCGUGGCAGAUGAUCACGGCUACGAUGCCGUAGCAAGGAAAGCAACAAAACCCAUGGCCGAGAGCCCAAAGAACGGGGGUGAUGUGGUUCCACAAUAUUACAAGGACCCCAAAAAGCUCUGCGAAGAGGACUUGGAGAAGUUGGUGCCCAGGGUAAAAGUAAGCAGCGAGCCAGCAAAAGACUGUUUGCCAGCAAAGCCCUCAGAGGCCACCUCAGACCGGUCAGAGGGCAGCAGCCGGGACGGCCAGGGCAGCGACGAGAACGAGGAGUCUAGCGUUGUGGAUUACGUGGAGGUGACAGUCGGGGAGGAGGAUGCCAUCUCAGACAGAUCAGAUAGCUGGAGUCAGGCUGCGGCAGAAGGUGUGGCAGAACUGGCCGAAUCGGACUCCGACUGCGUCCCUGCAGAGGCUGGCCAGGCCUAGACAGGAGACAUAUAUACUCCAGCCCAAUUCUGCACUGAAGGACAAGGACUGCUGCAAAAGAAAUGAGGGAGACCAUCAAAAUAAAUGAAAGGCACACAGCUCAGCCACUAAGGAGAUGGACAAGACAUGUCAACCUCUGAUCUGCUACUUUUUGCAUCUAUAAAGUGAAAAGGACUGGGAGUAAAGACCAGAAGCAAACUCUCUAGGCAGCCCUGGACCCUUGGAAAAGUAUGGACGUCAAACUGGCUUCAUCAUCUACCCAAUGACAUUAUCCUGACUUCUGCCUUCCUUAUCUUACAGGAUUUGUAAAAGGUUGGAAUUAAGAAAGCGAAUUAAAAAGAUACUAUGUAAAAAGAAUUAAUAUGUGUAGGUGUGUUAAUUGUAUUAUCACAAUCUUUUCGGAAAUACCCGCUAACCGGUUUUUAUAAAUUCAUAUUUCAACUACCCCCAUAUUCCUAUAAGUUACUCAAGGCCUGGUUUUGGAAAAGAAACCUCGUUUUUGUCUGACUAUAUUUUCUCUAAUGCUGAUGACAUAAGACUAUUUUUAGUCACUGUUUGCACCUGUUCUUUGGAAAUCAGUGUCUGUCAAAAUAUCUCACUUCUUUUCCCUGUUCAUUAAGCAUACCCUUGAGUUUUACUUGCUUUCAUUGAUCUAAAAGACUUAAUAUUAUUUUUGUAUUACUUUAAAAUUAUAAUCUGAAAACACCAGAAGACAGCUUAUCUCUUUAGAAGGACAUAGUGUAACAUAUUUCGGAAAUCCCCAUUGUAAGUAUCCAACUAAAUCCCAUUUUUUCCUCGACCUGAUAUGUAAACAGUAAGGAGAAGGAACUGGCUUUACGUUCAGUGCCAGGAGUAAAGAGGCCUAUUUUCAACCCUGGAAAGCCUAAGAGGCAGCCAACUGCAGCACAAAGAGCCACGACUUGCAGAGAGAGGAUUGCCUGCCUCACACUUACUGAGAGGACUCGUGGGGGAGUAUCUCAUUUUAAGUCCACAGCAAUCUCAAGGCCAGGCCCAUAAUGAUCCCAGUUUUUUCAGGAGGAAAGCUGGGCCCUAAUUAGAGUUCCUCUCUUAACAAGGAUAUGUAGCCCAUGUGCUCACUGCUAUAUACACCCUUAAAGAAGACAUAAGACAUUGUUCCUCGGUUAUUAGUCCAACAACUUCAGAGUGUAGGUUGCAGCCAUCCUUUAACUAAAAUCUUCUAAACAAUCUGCUACUGAAAUAAUUUGCCAUCCAGAGUCGAGUGUUUUUUGUUUUUUUUUAAGUAUAAAAAGUGAGGAUUUGUCUGAAAUAAUAAGGAUCACUUGAUUUGGACUUAAGUAUAUAUCAGUCACCAAGCAAGAAAGAUGAUGAGCACCUGUGUGACAAAUGCUGGUUUAGCAAACUGUGGCCUUUUUUGCUGGGUGGGGAGACACAACGGGUAGGCAAGAAAAGGCCCCUUCCAUUAAUUUAAACAAAUGAAAGGCACUUAAUCGUUACAAAGAGCAAUUAGAAGCCAUCAAAUCUACUCCUAGAUAUAUAGGCAACAGAAAUUACUAUUUAUGCUCACCAAGAAGUACAUAUGUUCACCAAGACAUGUACUAGAAUGUUCAUAGCAGCACCAUUCAUAAUAGCCAAACUAGAAACUGCCCAAAAGGUCCAUUAAUAGCUGAAUGAGUAAAUAAAUUGUGGUAUGGUCCCAUAAUGCGCAACCUAUAACCACAUGCAACAAUAUGGGUGACUCUCAAACAUAAUGUUGAUAAAAGCAGGUAGACGCAAAAGAGAACAUACUUCAUAAUUCCAUCUAUAGAAAGCAUAAAAACUGGCAAAAACAACACAUGGUAUUAAAAAUCAAGAGCAUAGUUACCCUUAGAGAGGACAGUGACCAGAAGGAAGCAGGAGAAAGCUUUUAGAGAUUCUGUUUCUUGAUCUGAAUGCUAGCUAUAUACGUUUUGAAUUUUUAAAAACUCAAGCUAUAAACUUAUUACACAUACACUUUCCUGCUUGUAUACUGUAACUCAAUAAAAAGUUUUUUAAAAAGCCACAAUCUAAUGGGCAACAUUACUAUAGACCACAGCAGAACUGUUCAACGUGGACAGGACUAUUAAGGAAAGAUCUUAAACUAUGUACCAAAACACUGGCCACUAGAGUUCUAUAGCCAAACCUUGGUGGAUAUAGAACUUCUAUGCUCAGCCUAUAGUCCAAGUUCAUUCUCCUCCCUGCUAUGUUGAAAUGUCUCUCUUCCCCAAUACACCCUUAAAUCAGUCUCCUAAGGUUGCUGUCAUCAGGUUAAAUGUGACGUGUAAGCAAAAGCUUGGCAAAUAUAAGCACCAGGCUGAGUCACAGAAUUGGUUGGUACCAUUUCUUAUUCCUGGAAACAAAUUAGAGAAAUCAAGAGUUCACAUCUUCCCAUUUCAAGUCAGGAUGCUUUUAAGAAGACAAAGCAGAAUAAUCAUCCAGCAGUUACGUUUCAAUUUCAAUUACUAAUUAAAAUUAGAAUCUUACUGUCCAGGAGAGAAGGAAAUAAGGCACAAAGUAUUGGCUGAUAAAGAAAAAUUGGCAACUAUUUUUUUCCCAUACCAACCACAUAGGAGGCAACUAUUUUUGAAUAGCUUAUUUAUCAGGCUAUUUACUGGGUAUUACAAACAUUUUUCUAUGUGUUCUACAUACUAGAGGCAAGAAGUAGAUAACAUAUUUCCUCAAUUUGAAGGUACUCGUUCCUGUGUUUCUGAAAUUACAAUCAAUACACGCGUUUAAUGUAAUUUCUACUCCCCUGUCCCCCAAAAAAGUUGCAUUAAAUUGAUGGUGCAUCGUAUAAUCAAUGGAGUCUUAGAACAAAGUUAAUAUGCUAUGAUAUUAUCCUCAGAUCCUAAAGAAAUUGAGGCUCAGACAGGAUAAAUAACUUGCCUAAGGGUACACAACUAGCAGGGGACUGAGCCAGGCCUUGAGACCAUGAUUCAACUACUUGAAAUCUAACAGUCUUUCUACUCUAAUAGAAAAGGAAAAAUAGUUUGCUAUGAUUGAUUUGGAAGAAACCACCUUCAAAAAUGUUUUGCUACAUACUUUUUUUUCAUAGAUAUUAUGCAAAGGAGUUAAAACAGCUUAGAACUAUGUUUGACUCAACGAAAUUGAAACUGAAGCUGUCUACAAAAUGGGGGUAACACUUAUCUCAGGAUGAUUGUCAGAAUUCAAUGACAUAACUUCGGGGAAAUUGUAACAGGGUGAUGUUAUUUUGUCCAAAGAAAUGAAGAAAUAUAGCCAUGCAGGCGGCCCUGGGAGACAUAACCUUAGAAAACACAAAGGCAGCAGGAAUUGCCACCUCUAGUGUAGUUAGUCAAAAGUUAAUAUGAAGACAUUUCAUUAUUGUGAACUAUUUGAUUGAUGAACAUAAAUCUGACGGACUCAGAAUAGGGAGAAAUCGUAGACAACAGUAUAAUGAGUCUUAACACACACCUGUUUCAACCUAUCCACACUAAAGAAAUAACGUUAUAAACCUCAGAGUUCUAAACCAACAAGCUACACACAGGAAUCUAUAGCCGAGGAGGAAAAAUAACUUGUCACUUCCAACAUGAGCACACAAUUCUAAAUCAAUCACUCCCCCAUUUUUGUAAGCUGUGAAAGAUUCAGCUUCUAAGGAAAAGAGGAACGUUCUAGCAGAACUCUGCUAAAGCACACCUCACACUGUCCAUGCACAGCAGCCUCUAAAUGCAGUUUUUCCUUGACUGCUUCAUUUGCAAAUGAGUUCCUCCAGGUGGGUCUGAAAGUUACAUGUGUCCAAAACAGGCAAGAAUCAGAGUAACAGGAAGAAAAGACAAGGUACAGCUGUUGGUCUUUCCACACCUGGGCAGUACACUGUCCUGCCUCCUGCUGGCAGCUGAGAAGAAAUAAUACGGGGAAGAUGACAAAAUCGUGGAAGAUGUGACAAGAAUGAUUACUCUUUUUAAUCAGUUCACCACUUUUAACAUUAUACACCCGCAGUCUGUUAGGCUUAUUUACAUUGCUUCUUUACAAUGUGCUUAUUUACGUCGUGUAGUCACUAGUAUCACUACACAAGUGAGGAUUUUGCAAACAGGGACAACAAGCCGGUUUUGACCAGGUCCUUCUCACACAUUAAUAUGCCACCACUGCUCCCCAUGACCACACAUUACCCAACAAGCCACCAGGAACAAAGUACACAACAUUCACUCAGCCAACAAAUAUUUACUGAAGUAAUAAACACAGAACAGCAUGCACCAGCUGCACUCCAGAAUCAUGUUUUUAUAUCCAACUGCUCCCUUGGCCUCUCCACAUGGAUGCCUGAAAAGCAUCUCAAG